CUCAAACAUCCUCUCUCUCCGGCGAUUUCUCUAUCUCUCCGGCGAUUCCUGCCCUUCUCGACCUCUCUUCACCGGCGAAUCCUCUUCUCACCCUCAUAUCUCUUCCCCAAACCCCAAAUCAUGUAAGAAUCAUCCCAAACCUUGUUUUAUGUCAAUUGUUUAGGGUUUUGGAAGUUAGAUCUCGGAUUUUAGGUUGUUUGAUUGAAAAUUUUAGGAUUGAAUGGAUAGUUUAGGAUAUAUAAGUUAGGAUUGUUGUUUGGAUUGUUGUUUUAGUUUUUUUUGGGAUUUUUUUUUUUUUAAAUUCAAAACGUUUUAAUAUUUAUAAAACGUUUUAAUAUUUAUAAAACGUUUUUUGAUUUUUAAAAACGUUUUUCAAGUUUCCAGUAAUGAAAUAUAUAUAAUAAAACGUUUUUAAAAUUAUUUUAAUUUUUUUUUUUAGGGCCGAGGAUGAACCCCGCCCCGCAGCCCGUCUUCGACGUAGUUCGGUGAGCAGUUCCCGUGCAUCGGGAUCGUCUCAUGAACAAAACUCGGUUCCCGCAUAUAUUCCCGCUCCAGCUCCCGCUGCCCCUCGCGCUGCUGCUCAACAUGAUCCGGGGGUCAUGCCAGUUGAACUAUUGGUUCAACAACCAGGUCGAGAGCAUCUCCCGGUUCU
rnacentral:lncRNA from 1 species